UACGUAGGGGGCUAGCGUUGUCCGGAAUCAUUGGGCGUAAAGCGCGCGUAGGCGGCCAGAUAAGUCCGGUGUGAAAGUCACAGGCUCAACCUGUGAAUGCCGCUGGAAACUGUCUGGCUAGAGUCCGGAAGGGGCGAGUGGAAUUCCCGGUGUAGCGGUGAAAUGCGCAGAUAUCGGGAGGAACACCAAUGGCGAAGGCAGCUCGCUGGGACGGUACUGACGCUGAGACGCGAAAGCGUGGGGAGCAAACAGG
rnacentral:rRNA from 1 species